GGCCCGCUAGCUCAGUUGGUUAGAGCGUGGUGCUAAUAACGCCAAGGUCGUCGGUUCGAUCCCGGCGCGGGCCA
rfam:Orchesella cincta Ocin01_Sc0437, whole genome shotgun sequence.